rnacentral:rRNA from 1 species
CGAACGCUGGCGGCGUGCUUAACACAUGCAAGUCGAACGCGAACGAUUUCUUCGGAAAUCUAGUAGAGUGGCGCACGGGUGAGUAACGCGUAAGUAAUCUACCCUGAUAUCUGGGAUAACAAUUCGAAAGGAUUGCUAAUACCGGAUACGCUGAUUUAUCAGGAAAGGUGGCCUCUUCAUGAAAGCUACUGUAUUGGGAGGAGCUUGCGUACCAUUAGCUUGUUGGUGGGGUAAUGGCCUACCAAGGCAACGAUGGUUAGCGGGUCUGAGAGGAUGAUCCGCCACACUGGAACUGGAACACGGACCAGACUCCUACGGGAGGCAGCAGUGAGGAAUAUUGCGCAAUGGGGGAAACCCUGACGCAGCGACGCCGCGUGGAUGAUGAAGGCUUUCGAGUCGUAAAAUCCUGUCAGAUGGGAAGAAAUGCCAUAUGUCUAAUAUAUGUAUGGUUUGACGGUACCAUCAAAGGAAGCACCGGCUAACUCC